UUACUUAUGGGAUGUCCCCUGGAAAGAGGGACAGGGACAAAGAGAUACACAUCCCUGUAGGCCCCUGACCUCAGGGUAAUUUCACUCCUGCCCAAUCCUUUAAGGGACCCCAUUUGAGCUUUUCUUGGCAGAGAUACGAGUGGUUUCCCAUUUCCUUCUCCAGCUCAUUUGACAGAUGAGGAAACGGAGGCAAACAGAAUGGAGUAUCUUGGCUAAAAUCUUGCCAUUUUCUUCUCCAGCUCAUUUGACAGAUGAAGAAACUGAGCCAAAUAAGAUCGAGUUUCUUGGCCAAGAUAUUGCUAUUUCCUUCUCUAGCUCAUUUGACAGAUGAAAAAACUGAGCCAAACAGAAUGAAGUGACUUAUCCAGGGUCACCCAGCUAAGAUCCUGGAUUGGUCUGCCAUUUCCUUCUCCAACUCAGGAAACUGAAGCAGGAAGGGUGAAGUGACUUGCCCAGAGUUACACAGCAAAGAUACUGCAAUGAUAGGUUCCUGACGCUCAAACUCAGAGAAAAGAAGCUCUGAAGGGUCUGAGUCUGCAUAUUGUACCAGACAGCCCUGCUCUGAGGCCUCAUCUCAGCCUCCAGCCUCAAAGGUUCCUGGUCUCCCCCUGGAAAGAAGGUAGAAGAAACAAGAAAGAAGCCUUCAACUUCCCCCUCCUUCUUCGGGGCUCCAAGUCUGGGGGUGACUGGUACAGACACUACGUGUCCAAGUGCCCCAGGUGGCAACCUGGCCCUGUUUGCUCAUGAUUGCCCCUCUCACCCUGGACAACACCAGACCUAUGGAGGUGGGAGCAGAUGGCCUGUUGGAAGGAUCACAGGGUGGUGGUGUAAGUGUUGGCUUAGCCCACCCUCCAACUAUGGCAGGGGGCAAGAAUGGGGGAGACAGAUGGGAGGGAAAGUCCCAAGGUCUGGGGUUUCCCCCCUAACAGCUGGGAAAGGAGAAGUGGAAGGAAGGGGGUGGGGAUGGCUCGGACCAUAACAGCUGGGGCGGGUGAUUGAGGUAGGUGGGUACACAGACAGGCAAGACUGGGGUCAGGGCUCAGACUGCCAACAGGGAGGAAAGGCUGGGGCUGGGGCUGGGACAGUCCUGGGAGGAGGAGCAGGCCUAGCUCUGGAAAUCCCCUUUCUGCUCUGGGCUGCGCUCUCUGGGUCACAUUCCAGAAGCCACCUCCCUCCUUCCCUCAUCUCCUUUCCUCUGACUUCCUCUUUUCCCACUUCUCCCAGCUCCCUUACCCUAGACACCUCUAAGGGGAAGUACCCUACCCGCCCUCCCCUAAGUCUGACAACCCCAUUAGGGGAACCCCUCUGGGGAACAAACCCAGAAUUCUCAACACCUACUUGCACACUAAUCUUCUUAUCCUGCCUUCUUUCUUCUCAAUGCUUCUGAGAACCCUAGAAGGGGGUCCCAGGCCCUAAUCUAGUCAUCUAGCCUUGAAUCCUAUCCUUAUUUCUUGGGUUUAAUCCCCUUUCUCUAAUCUCAUGCAUAUUACCCAUACCUUUUGGAACAGUGGAAGUUCUAUGUCCUGUGUAAUGCUUGAGGGCUAAUCUCAAGGAUAGGUUUUGGAGGGACUUGGAGCUCCUGGUGAGGCAUUACUGAAUCUAGACAGGGACAGCCUCAGGCCUAGGCACAUGGGGGGGGGGGAGCUCAGGCUAAGAUCAAGUAGGAUCUCUCAAUCCUCAAAUUUUUCUCUAGCAUCUGAUCUAGAACUCUCCUUUGUACUGAUCACAGUCAUUACCUUUUCCCUUAUUCUUGUAGCUAUGUGAGUAUAUUUUGCUGCUUGCUCCCACUCACCCUGCUCUAGGGCUGGACUGUGACCCUCAGAAUCUAGCAAGGUGCUAUGCAUCUAGCAGGCACUUAAUGGAAGUUUGCUGAGUCUGGAAGUUGGAAGGGGUGAGUCAGGAUGCCCAAUCCCUACCCCUAGUCAAGCAUACUUAAUUUUAUACCCCAGUCUACAAAGAAGGAAUGUUAGGCCUGAAAAUUCCCAUCUCAAAGAAAGAGGCUGGGGUGAGAACUCCCCCUCCCCCAGAUAUCUUCCCCUUCCCCCACAGCCAACCAGUUCUCCUUCCUGCCCAUUCCCACCAGACCAUCCCACAUACAAAGCUUCUAAACCCAUGCAGCACCUGGACUUGACAGAAAGGGGUUUGGGGGUGGGAGGGAGAGUGCAGAAGACUGAUCUCAUCCCUGACUUCCCCUUUCUCAACCUAGGAAGAGGUGGCUGUAAUAAGGCUAGACCUUGCCCUCAGUCUAUCUGAUUGGGUCCCCCUGCUCCUUUACACACACACUUCAGCCUUGAUCUUUGCCCUGCAGGGGCCUGGAUCCCCUCUCAAUCUCCCUAGGCCCAGCCCCUCUCCCCCCAGGACGUGGAGACUCCUGCUUCUAUGAUUUUUUUCUCCCUGUCCCCUCAUUCCGAUCCUGGGAAGCUUUACUUCCUGGGACUGAGGUGUCUAGAGUUGGGGGAAGGGAAUAAUUAAUUCUGGCUCUGAACGGGGACUCCUCCCUUUUACCCCCUCCUCAGUCCAGAGAGAACCAGGUAAACUGGUUUAUUCUUAUUCUUAAAUGGUAGGGCAUUAUUAUCAGCAAAGUUAUUCACGAGGCGCCGUCAGAGAAAUUGUUCAUCAGCCUAGGGAGAAGCAGACACUGGCCGGCCAGUUCAGCCUGAUCUUCCCCACUCUUAACCCAGGGACACCCAUGGAGCAGUCAUGGCAGGUUCUAAGAUCUGGGUUGGAAGUAGAGAGUUGAGAAGGCUUAAGUCUAGGGGCAAUAGCUAUACCAACGGGCCUUGGGGAUAGUCAACCCUCUCCCCAUUCUUUCCCCCUUCGGAGAGGCUCUUUGGAGCACCAGGCUGUCCCGUUAGGAGACGACCUCACUCAGGAGCCUCCUGGUGUUCAGCCAAAGGGGGGAGAGGGCUCGGGCCAUCAGGUUUGUAGACUCACGUGUCUCCAUCCUCGGAGAUGUAGGUAAGCGCCUCCAGCUGCUGCUGCCCAAGCACUCCCACCCGGGCCUCGGACACGCGGGGUUCCCCACCCUCGACGGCCUCGGGGCUCCCCAGCGGGGGCAGAGGCUCGGUGAGCGAAGACGAGCCGUAGGCGGAGUCCAUCCGCUCCCCAUCUUCCUCCUUCAGGUCCUCCUUGGUCCCUGGGGGGGCCCGAGUCCCAGUCCUAGGCAGGGGGCCGCCGUCUGAGGGCCCCAAGGUCAGGGCCGGCUCGGGCAGGGAGCGCAGCGAGCGCCAGGACUCGAUGCCCGAGUCGUACUGGCCCUCGUCCGGCUCAUCCGGCCCCUUCCCAGGCUCCGACAUAGCCCGCGCCCCUGCGCCUUACUGUGCUCCCUCUCCGAAUGCAGCGAGGCGUUCCCCGGGCUCACUCAGACGCUGCUGGGCUUGGGCUCCCUGGGGCGUAGGGCCCGGAUGCUUCCCGAGGCCUCCUUCUCAGCUUUCGGGCUUUGCCGUUGCAAGGGAAGCCUACAACGCCGAAGAAGUGAGCCUUUUUCCGCGUCCUCUGAGGCUUCGCGAAGGUUGGGGGAUGCUGGCCUCCAGACUGGAUGCGCUGAGCAUGAACAAGGACAGCGGGAUGGCGGCGGCGAAGGCUCCGAGGCUGGGGAUACCUUCGUUUUCCCUUUCCUGCUUCUGAGACAGCCGGCUCCGGCCCCAGCUCCGCCCCCAAUAGACUCAUUGGCAGUAACCCGGACCUGAGAAUGCGGCCCGGGACGCCCCGCCCCAGCAACGCCCCGCCCCAGGUACGCCCCACCCUGUGGCCCUCCCCGUUCCACUUCGACUCCGCCCUCGGGACCCUCGGCGCCCAGAAACACCCUGCAGAAGAAUGGCUUGACUCCCGGGAGGGAACACCCUGGGUACACCUAGGCUCCUAGGAACACCCUGUCCCAAGCAACACAGCAUAAGAUAAUAAAUAUUUAUCAAGCAACUUCUCUCUGGGCUGCGAGACCUAGAGUGAUGGGGUCCCUUCUCCUUGAGCUCGCGCAAGCUCACUGGGGGGAAGGGAUUGUGUCAUUCUUUGUACUUGUGUCCCCAGCGCCUAGCACAGUGCCUGGCCCAGAACACAUAGCUCGCUAAAUGCUCGUUGAGAGAUGAUAGAGAGGAAAAUAAAGACAUCAGCGCAAAUAGUAAGGACUGUGGUAUUCCAAUAAAUCUAUCCCCGUUCUCAACAGAUGAGCACAGUCCAUCAAACCAGGUGGAAAUGAUCUAGAUUCCCCAGAAGCCGGGAAGAUCAACUCCCUUUCCCGGGAAUGACUCUGGUCUCCUGUCUUCUCCAGUAGGUCCUUCACCCGAGGGGAUAGGUACCCUAAUCUUCCCUCCUCUGAAGGCUUUAUUAUACCCUCCCGAGGAUACCCUGGACAGAGACAGUUUACCACAUAAGGGUAUUUGCUCUGAGUCCCCAGCUUGGAGGGGCAAUAAUCUUCAUUUCAUAUUGAAGGUUGUCUUGCAAGUAAUUAAUCGUCUCUGGAGAACAUCACUGGUGAUUGCGUUGUACUAAACUUGUUUUUGAUACACUCCAGAACCUGGGUCCUUUUAUUCAUUCCCUGGACAAAUUUCAUUAAAUAUCUGUGUGCAGAGCACUGUGCUCAGAGAUGGAGGAGACACAAAGAUUAGAUAAAAGGAGUCCCUGACCUCUCAGACUACAUUGAUUUACUUAUGGUAAAGGUCCUCCCACUGCAAGGAACAAACAAAGCUCCUUCCUUUCCUCAGUCCAAAGUGAGAGCUUCAGAAUGGUUCUCCUUAGCUUUUCCUUUGUCAACCCCCUUUUCCUGUCUCUUUUGUUCCUUCUCUAGUCUGUUACUUUUGAGGCUUGUGGACGGGAAUCUAGUGGGAGGUAGGGGAAAACUUGUGCUUUAGACAACAGUUCUCAAAAUAGUGUUCCUAAGGGGAUGCCCCCAAUAUACUCCUUUGGGACUUCUUCCCCCAGUAUCACGGGUUUGUAUUUGCCUGUAUUUUCCUGAGGUGCAUAUUUUUUUCCUGGUUGACAUGUCUCUAUAUAAAUAAGCAUAAAAACGAACUAUUUAGAAACUGUGAUAUAUUUGAAUGAAGAUAUGUGAGAAGAAAACCCCAACGUACUCCUAUGGAGGUUGGAAAUCCACAGAUGUUAUACAUAUCUUUUGCAUUGCACAUAUUUUUGUACCUUCUUGAUGUAUCUAUGUUAUGUUGAAGUUUUUCUUCCUCUCAAAAAUGAACAAAUAUAUAAAAAACCCAAUACAAUUUGUCAUAUGGGAUACUAUAGCAAUAUAAAAAAUAUAAAAAUUAUUUUAAAAAAACUGUAAUAUUUAUAUCUCCAAAGAAAGAGACCUCCUUAAGAUGUUUUUAAAUAAAUUCUCAAAGAGACGCUCCUGAAGAAACUGAGGCUCUGAGAUAGGGUUUUAUUAGGUUAAGAAAUCAAGGUAAUAUCUAAGAAGGUGGUACUACUUCCUCCUCAUUGUGAAUCCAGGAGAUCCCUUUCUGGUUCCUGUGAGAAGGCUGACCCAGAAGAAGACAACAGAGGAGUGUUGGUGGGCCAUACUUUCUCACUCCAAGGCAGAUACUCAUCCUGUAGUAGGGUCUACUUGUCGCUGAAGAGCCCCUUUCCUCAGCUACUUCCCCCAUACUAUUAUCCUAGUCCAUAUCAGUCCUUCUCUGCCCUCUGAAACCCACUAUUAUAUUUCACACUUUUCAUUUUAUCCUAGAUAUUUACUUUCUUUUUAAAAAAUAUUUCUCCCAUCACCUGAUGUUCACUAAAACCAAGCCUCCUCAUUUAGCAAAUUUAUCUUUUGAUAUUUUUUAUUUUUUCCCAAAUUACAUGAAUAUAAUUUUUAAUAUUCAUUUUCUGACAUUUGGCAAUCCAUGUUCUUUCUCUACCUCCCACUCCUCCCCCUCCCUAAGAAGGCAGGUGAUAUGAUAUAGGUUGUACAUAUAUUAUUAUAGAAAUCAUAUUUUCAUGUUCGUCAUACAGUGAAACAAGACACAUAUUGCUUACACUGAUACUCUUUAUUUUGGUACCAUCUUCAUUUCUGAACACAUAUCUGGUCCCCUCCUUCCCUAGGUCAUUCCUUAUGACAAAGAUUUUUAGGUCCUAUCUUUUUUCCUGGAGAUAGCUCAAUUCCUGAUGUCCUCUUCAUUGCUGACUGCUUCUUAUCUCACAUACUUUGACAUGUGGGGACAAUGGGGAAGUUUGGCAUACUCCUUUCUUUCUGCUGCCAUUUUUAGACUGUGCCUCUCUCUAUCAGCAACCACCUUUAAUUUAAUUCAUUUCACCCAAGGGGCAGAGAUAUAGAGAUCCACACCUAGAGAUGGGAGGUCCUGAGUUCAAAUUUGUCCUCAGCUUGGGCCAAUCACUUAACCCCUGUUGCCUAGCCCUUAUUGCUCUCUGCCUUAGUACCAAUACACAGUAUUGAUUCUAAGAUAGAAGGUAAAGGGUUUUUAAAAAACAAUUUCAUCCAGCUAGAUUCUUGUUGGAGUCAUCUACAGACUGCCAUAUCACUUUCUUCCUCCUCAAGAAGUUCAGUACCUGGUUCAUAGACUUUUCCCCUCACCCCAUCCUCUUUAAAUACUCUAGCCUCCUACAUCCUUAACCUCCUUCACUUCUGCAGCCUCUUUCUCCAGAUUACUUCAACUAUUCUCAGGAGCAGGACUCAGACCCUUCUCCAAAAUGAAUUUGUCCCAGGAGCCAGAAUUUUUCAACUGUCCUUUAACAGAACUCUCCUGAGUAAGGGACAAGAUGAGCCAAUGCCUCCCUUCCACCACCCCACCCCCUGCCAUUUAACACACUUCUCCAGUUCUCAGCUGUUGUUGUUAUUAGUCAUGUCCAACUCUUCCUGACCCCUUUUGGUGUUUUCUUGGCAAAAAAUCCUGGAGUGGUUUGUCAUUUCCUUCUCUGACUCAUUUUACAGAGGAGGAAACUGAGGCAAAUAGGGUCUGUAUGACUUGCCCAGGGCCAUACAGCUUAGUGUCUAUGGCAGAUUUAAAUUUAGGUCUUCCUGACUCUAGGCUGAGCACUCUAUCCACAAGUCACCUAGCUGCCCCUCCAUUCCCAAUACUUCUCUUCCAUUCUCAUCACUUAGAUCCAAUCCCUGAGACUCAAUAUCACCCCCCAAACUCUAGCUUUUAAUCUCAUCUCAGCACUUAGUCCCUAUUGCCCCAGCAUUUAUGUCAUGCCUUUAGAUCCUGGUUCUGUUCCAGCAUUUAGCAUUCCACUAUCAGCACUCAACCUCCUUUCCUCAUCCCUGAAGCAAGGGAAAGUUUAGAUUGUUUUUGCUAGAGCUAUGAUGUUUCUGGAUAAGAAAUACUUAUCCACUUAAGUACUAAAAUCUAGUACUAAGUACUAAGUACUAAAAAUCAGCUUCUUCCUUUCCUCUUCCUCAUCCCUGGGAAUUAUCCUCUAUCUUGCCAACUCCUGACCCAGCUCCUCUUGCAUCCACAGUGAAAGGAAAACAAUCAAAUGUUUACCAAGCACCUAUGCUAGCUGAUGGAGAUGCUAAGUUGAUAGCAGUCAUUGCCCUCAAGACUCUCACUGGGGAAGAUGGUAUAUAUAAAUCAUAUCAUAUAUCUACAAAAUUAAAAGCAUUUUGUUUUUAAAUUUAUCUUUAUUCCAAUAACAAAUUUUCACAUAAGUUUCUCAAAGUUUCAUGAUUCAUGUUGUAUCUUCCCUCUUCUGUCCCCACUUCCAGAGUUGACAAGCAAUUCCACUGGGUUUAAAAGCAUUUUUGGGGGGAGAACCUUAGUUGUUUUCAUUUUACUCUUGCAUUGUGGUUCCUCCCCCAUCAUUUUAAUUGGGGACAAAAGGAAGGGAUGAAUUAUGCAAGAUAUAGAGGGGAUUCCCAUGGAUGAAUAAACUAGUGUUGGUGAUUUUGGAGAUGUUUCCUCAUGAAACCAAAGGAAGCUGUGAAUGAAUGGAGGUCUGGCUCCCUUCAACCCUUUCCUGAUGCCAUAUUCCAUGAAGGUUGGGAGAAUGGACCCAAUCCCAUGGGAUGGGGAGGGGGAGACAAUGAAAGAUGACUUUGUAUAAAUGUACAUCUUUUGUUUAUUUAUUUUAAAUUUUUUCCCUCAUUAUGUGUUGAUAUAAUUUUUAAUAUUUAUUUUCUGACAUUUGGCAAUCCAGUCUCUCCAUCUCUCUCAUGCGUUUCUCCUCCCUAAGAUGGCAGGUAAUAUGAUAUAGCUUGUACAUACAUUAUCACAUAAUACAUAUUUCAAUGUUUGUCAUGUUGUGAAAGAAGAAACAUGUUGCCUACACUGGAAAAAAAAUUCAUGGAGAAAAUAAGGUGAAAAAUUAUGUUUCAAUCUGCAUUUGGACUUUGCUCCUUUUGUGGUGGUGGACUUCUUUUUUAUCCUCAUGAGUCCCUUAGAAUUUUCUUGGAUCGUUGCCUUGUUAAUAAUA